GGUGCUCUUUUGUGUUGUGCUGGUUGUGGAUUGGGUUUUCUGCCGCAAGUCCUAUAGUGCUGCUCUCAGGAAUGAAAUCUGCACUAACCUGCCACGUGAAGGCGUAUGUCGUAAAAGUAAUACGUAUGCUUUCCAUAUAAAUACUCGAAGAUGCGUACACAUAGAGCCGAAUCUUGGGCCGUGCGGUUUCUUUCGCAACCAGACUAGUUGCGAGUUGUUUUGUCAAAAGGCACAUCUUAAUAACGGCCCUUUGCAUAAUCACCAACCACGUACUGGUGGCCAGAGAUUAAAAUUAAAUUAACGCAUGGAUACAUUAAUGGGUAGGAGAGAAUCUUAAACAGAUGAGAUCUAGUAUAUAUAGUAAAAGGCACUCUCAUCGCCUGAAACAAAAUUGUUCAAUGGCAAAGAUCUUGCAGCGAUAUAUAAAAUUUCAAAUAAAAUAAAUAUACUUAUUUAUAGAUUA